rnacentral:rRNA from 1 species
UACGUAGGCAGCAAGCGUUGUUCGGAGUUACUGGGCGUAAAGGGUGUGUAGGCGGUCCCCUAAGUUUGGUGUGAAAUCUCCCGGCUCAACUGGGAGGGUGCGCCGAAAACUGGAGGGCUAGAGUACUGGAUGGGAGAGUGGAAUUCCUGGUGUAGCGGUGAAAUGCGUAGAUAUCAGGAGGAACACCUGCGGUGUAGACGGCUCUCUGGACAGUAACUGACGCUGAGACACGAAAGCGUGGGUAGCAAACAGG